rnacentral:rRNA from 1 species
GUGGGGAAUUUUGGACAAUGGGCGAAAGCCUGAUCCAGCCAUGCCGCGUGCAGGAUGAAGGCCUUCGGGUUGUAAACUGCUUUUGUACGGAACGAAAAGACUCCUUCUAAUAAAGGGGGUCCAUGACGGUACCGUAAGAAUAAGCACCGGCUAACUACGUGCCAGCAGUCGCGGUAAUACGUAGGGUGCAAGCGUUAAUCGGAAUUACUGGGCGUAAAGCGUGCGCAGGCGGUUAUAUAAGACAGAUGUGAAAUCCCCGGGCUCAACCUGGGAACUGCAUUUGUGACUGUAUAGCUAGAGUACGGUAGAGGGGGAUGGAAUUCCGCGUGUAGCAGUGAAAUGCGUAGAUAUGCGGAGGAACACCGAUGGCGAAGGCAAUCCCCUGGACCUGUACUGACGCUCAUGCACGAAAGCGUGGGGAGCAAACAGGAUUAGAAACCCGAGUAGUCC